rnacentral:rRNA from 1 species
CCUACGGGAGGCAGCCGUGAGGAAUAUUGGUCAAUGAGCGGAAGCCUGAACCAGCCAAGUAGCGUGCAGGAUGACGGCCCUACGGGUUGUAAACUGCUGUUAUACGGGAAUAACGCGCCUUACGUGUAGGGCUUUGCAUGUACCGUAUGAAUAAGGACCGGCUAAUUCGGUGCCAGCAGCCGCGGUAAUACGGGAGGUCCGGGCGUUAUCCGGAUUUAUGGGGUUUAAAGGGAGCGUAGGCCGCAUGUCAAGCGUGCUGUGAAAUGUCCGGGCUCAACCCGGGCCUUGCAGCGCGAACUGGCGUGCUUGAGUCCGCGGAAAGCAGGCGGAAUUCGUCGUGUAGCGGUGAAAUGCUUAGAUAUGACGAAGAACCCCGAUUGCGAAGGCAGCUUGCUGCAGCGGAACUGACGCUGAUGCUCGAAAGCGCGGGUAUCGAACAGGAUUAGAUACCCUUGUAGUC